rnacentral:tRNA from 1 species
GUCCUGUGGUGAAGUGUCAUGUUGAAUUGCAAAUUCGAAGAAGCAGCUUCAACGCUGCCGGGGCUU